GAUGAAGAACGUAGCGAAAUGCGAUAAGUAGUGUGAAUUGCAGAAUUCAGUGAAUCAUCGAAUAUUUGAACGCACAUUGCGCCCCUUGGUAUUCCAUGGGGCAUGCCUGUUCGAGCGUCAUCUACACCCUCAAGCUCUGCUUGGUGUUGGGCGUCUGUCCCGCCCCCGCGCGUGGACUCGCCCCAAAUCCAUUGGCAGCGUUCCUUGCCCCCUCUCGCGCAGCACAUUGCGCUUCUCGAGGGCGGCUCCGGGACGCGAUCCAGCAAGAUGACCACCGUCUUUGACCUCGGAUCAGGUAGGGAUACCCGCUGAACUUAAGCAUAUCAAUAAGCGGAGGA
rnacentral:misc_RNA from 1 species